rnacentral:rRNA from 1 species
UACGUAGGGUGCAAGCGUUAAUCGGAAUUACUGGGCGUAAAGCGUGCGCAGGCGGUUAUAUAAGACAGGUGUGAAAUCCCCGGGCUCAACCUGGGAACUGCAUUUGUGACUGUAUAGCUAGAGUACGGUAGAGGGGGAUGGAAUUCCGCGUGUAGCAGUGAAAUGCGUAGAUAUGCGGAGGAACACCGAUGGCGAAGGCAAUCCCCUGGACCUGUACUGACGCUCAUGCACGAAAGCGUGGGGAGCAAACAGG